GUUCUUUUAGUAUUAAAACAGUACAGCUGACUUCCAAUCAGCUAGCCUCAGUGCACUCUGGGAAGGAACA
rnacentral:tRNA from 1 species